rnacentral:rRNA from 1 species
UACGAAGGGGGCUAGCGUUGCUCGGAAUCACUGGGCGUAAAGGGCGCGUAGGCGGCCGAUUAAGUCGGGGGUGAAAGCCUGUGGCUCAACCACAGAAUUGCCUUCGAUACUGGUUGGCUUGAGACCGGAAGAGGACAGCGGAACUGCGAAGUGUAGAGGUGAAAUUCGUAGAUAUUCGCAAGAACACCAGUGGCGAAGGCGGCUGUCUGGUCCGGUUCUGACGCGUGAGGCGCGAAAGCGUGGGGAGCAAACAGG